rnacentral:rRNA from 1 species
UACGGGGGGAGCAAGCGUUGUCCGGAAUUACUGGGCGUAAAGAGCUCGUAGGUGGUUUGUCGCGUUGUUCGUGAAAACUCACAGCUCAACUGUGGGCGUGCGGGCGAUACGGGCAGACUAGAGUACUGCAGGGGAGACUGGAAUUCCUGGUGUAGCGGUGGAAUGCGCAGAUAUCAGGAGGAACACCAGGUGGCGAAGGCGGGCUCAC